GCAGAGCUGGUGGAGGGCGCAGCGUUAGCUUGCCGGUGUUGUCCAGAGUGGUCCGAACCUUCUGGCACCGUCCUCUUUGAUGGCGCCGCCACUGGCCUUGGUGUCCGGGUCUUGCGACUCUGUGGCUUUUGAAGACAGAUGGCAACUCUCCCUUGGACGGCCUUGGAGCUCUGCUGCAGCCAGCACCCCUUCUCUCCUGCCAACCAGGAUCCCACUGUCUGAUGCCCCCCCAGUGUACCCAGAGGGUGAGGUGGCCCCCAGAGAGAAGGGAAGAAGAAAGAAGGGAAGGAAACGUCGAUGUGAGAGAGAAGCAUCGAUCAGUUGCCUUUUGCAUAUGCCCCAAUUGGGGAUCGAAUCCACAACCUUUCCAUUUAUAGGAUGAUGCCCAAUUGAGCCACGUGGACCAGGGCUUGAGAGGAAGCAGCUCGAUGCAGAGGGGGCUGUGAGAGGUGUCCCCAUCCUGGCAGGAAGCGACUGGACCACGAUGCCCCGAAGAUGAGAUAAGUUCACUGUGUGCAGAGGCGUCAGGGGAGUUGUCAUGUCAGAAACGUUCUAGACCCCAUUGUCCUCGAGGGGCGCUGCCUUGGACCUGGAGAGUGUGGGAGGAAGCCCCCAGGGGAGGCAGGCCCUGACCCUCAACAUGCUGACCUGGGUCAUAGCUUCCCUGGAGGGGCCUCCACGGUGAGUUAAAGCCAAGGGGUUGUGCCGGCCUGUGUUUCAGAGGUGGAAGUUCCAAGCUGCUGGCCUCAGUUGACUUUGUGCUUUAGAUUAGUUUGGGGGUUGAGCCUGGACAGUGGCAGAGCGGAGUGAAGAGUGUUGUCGUCAUGUGACGCAUUGCUGGACCUUCUUACCCCGUUACCCCAGCAUGACAUCAGAGGACUUUUCGCUCUGAGUGACCUGGGCAGAGGGAGAGCCCUGGGACUCUGGGGACUUGGGGCUAAUGUUCAGCAUUGGAGACCUUCCACUGGCUCUGCCCCUCCCCAGCAGGUGCUAUAGAGCGCCGUGGACCAGGACUGCUGGUUUCCUUCUGCCUGGGCCAGGUCACCCCAGUUCCCUGUGUCCCCCUACCUACUGCUCGUGUAACUUUUUAGAACCAAAGGUUCCUUUUGAAGUUUUCUGUGCUGUGCAUCAUUGUCCUCUCGCCUACCUCAAUAAACCUUGA